UUAGUGUCUGUUGAGUGUAGA
rnacentral:siRNA from 1 species